rnacentral:rRNA from 1 species
UACAGGGGGUGCAACCGUUGCUCGGAAUUAUUGGGCGUAAAGCGCGCGUAGGCGGCCACUUAAGUCGGAUGUGAAAGCCCCUGGCUCAACUGGGGAAGUGCACCCGAAACUGAAUGGCUUGAAUGCAAAAGAGGGUCGCGGAAUUCCCGGUGUAGAGGUGAAAUUCGUAGAUAUCGGGAGGAACACCGGUGGCGAAGGCAGCACUCUGGGACGGUACUGACGCUGAGACGCGAAAGCGUGGGGAGCGAACAGG